CGGACGGGUGAGUAACGCGUGGGCAACCUGCCGUAUACAGGGGGAGUAACAACUGGAAACAGUUGCUAACACCGCAUAAGCGCACAGUACUGCAUGGUACAGUGUGAAAAUCUGAGGAGGUAUACGAUGGGCCCGCGUCUGAUUAGCCAGUUGGCAGGGUAACGGCCUACCAAAGCGACGAUCAGUAGCCGGCCUGAGAGGGUGGACGGCCACAUUGGGACUGAGACACGGCCCAAACUCCUACGGAAGGCAGCAG
rnacentral:rRNA from 1 species